GUGAGAUAAGACAAGAUGCUGAGUUUCCUGGAAAAGCCACUCCCUUUUGAGCGUCAGGCCCGGAGAGUCUCAGCCACGAAUCGAAUCGGGCCUCCCAGCUCAGCGUCUGCUCUCCUGCCUGGUGGCCCCAUCCCCCUGCCCUGCUGGAGAGGCGAGGUGAUGGCCCCGUUUCCCGUCCUGUGGGGCUGCGUGCUCCUGGCUGCCGUGAAUACAGAUGCAGCCACGAGCUUGGUGGAGCAAAAGCCCAGGUGGGUCCUGGUAGCUCGCGGACAGGCUGAAACCUUGCGGUGCAUCCUGAAGGAUUCCCAGUACCCCUGGAUGAGCUGGUACCAGCAGGAUCUCCGGGGGCAACUACAGGUGCUGGCCAGUCUGCGGAGUACCGGGGAUGAGGAAGUCAUAAACCUCCCUGGAGCGAAUUACCGGGCCACACGGGUCAGUGAGAGUGAGCUGAGCCUACACGUGGCCAAUGUGACCCAGGGCAGAACGCUGUUCUGCACCUGCAGUAAAGACACAGUGAGACACCCUAACUGGGAAAAUGAAUAAAAACCACCCCUGGGUCCCAACCACAGACCCAACCUCCUCCUCCUCCUCCCGCUCUGCCCCAGUGGCCCUCCCCCACCUGGGUCCUCCCUUCUGGCCUUUUUACUACAAGCAGGCUCUCCCUGCGCUUCAGAGAACACUCAGCCCAAUGAGUUCAAGGCUUGAUCUG